UACAGAGGGUGCGAGCGUUAAUCGGAAUUACUGGGCGUAAAGCGCGCGUAGGCGGCUUUGCAAGUCGGGGUGUGAAAUCCCCAGGCUUAACCUGGGAACUGCAUUCGAGACUGCAUUGCUAGAGUAUGGGAGAGGGAAGUGGAAUUUCCGGUGUAAGCGGUGAAAUGCGUAGAUAAUCGGGAAGGAACAUCAGUGGCGAAAGCGACUUCCUGGACCAAUACUGACGCUCAUGUGACGAAAGCGUGGGGGAGCAAAACAGG
rnacentral:rRNA from 1 species